rnacentral:rRNA from 1 species
CAAGGAAUUUUGCGCAAUGGGCGAAAGCCUGACGCAGCAACACCGCGUGAGGGAAGACAGCCCUCGGGUUGUAAACCUCUUUUGUCAGGGAAGAAUAAUGACGGUACCUGGCGAAUAAGUCACGGCUAACUACGUGCCAGCAGCUGCGGUAAUACGUAGGUGGCAAGCGUUAUCCGGAUUCACUGGGCGUAAAGAGCGCGUAGGUGGUCCUUCAAGUCAGAUGUUAAAUUUUCCGGCUCAACUGGAAAAUGUCAUUUGAUACUGCUGGACUUGAGGGUGGUAGAAGGAGGUGGAAUUCCCGGUGUAGUGGUGAAAUGCGUAGAUAUCGGGAGGAACACCAGUGGCGAAAGCGGCCUCCUAGGCCAUUCCUGACACUGAGGCGCGAAAGCGUGGGGAGCGAACAGG